AGCGGCGAAAAAAUUUUCACCACCAUUUAUCAAACGUGCUUCAAUGAGGAAGAAAAGGCUUUUUGGUGCCGCAACAACCGCGAGGACUGGAUGCUGAUAGUGGUCGGCAAAAUCAUCCAGAACAUCUGAAGGCACAUCAAGAAGGAAUGGAUUUGCACCUGAACCGACGGAAGACCAGGCUCGCUUCCAACAUGGCCUCUCGAGUGCUCCCCGGUCUGAUGAUGUAAUCGCUGCUGUGCCACAAGAUGCCAAGCCUGAUCUGCUUCCUGAGCUGAAAGCGCAACCAAUUCGGACUGCUAGUGGGAUUGCAAUGGCCGUAAUGCCUGUCCGCACAAUAACAUGACGAGCAACAUUUGUGUGUACUGUCUCGGUAGGCCGGCUAUUGACUUAAAAUAUAUAACCCAGAGCUACACCAG